rnacentral:rRNA from 1 species
UACGUAGGGUGCAAGCGUUGUCCGGAAUUAUUGGGCGUAAAGAGCUCGUAGGCGGUCUGUCACGUCGGCUGUGAAAACUCGGGGCUUAACCCCGAGCCUGCAGUCGAUACGGGCAGACUAGAGUCCGGCAGGGGAGACUGGAAUUCCUGGUGUAGCGGUGAAAUGCGCAGAUAUCAGGAGGAACACCGGUGGCGAAGGCGGGUCUCUGGGCCGGAACUGACGCUGAGGAGCGAAAGCGUGGGGAGCGAACAGG